UACAGAGGGGGCAAGCGUUGUUCGGAAUUACUGGGCGUAAAGCGUGCGCAGGCGGUUUGCUAAGACAGGUGUGAAAUCCCCGGGCUUAACCUGGGAACUGCGCUUGUAACUGGCAAGCUUGAGUGUGGCAGAGGGGGGUGGAAUUCCACGUGUAGCAGUGAAAUGCGUAGAGAUGUGGAGGAACACCGAUGGCGAAGGCAGCCCCCUGGGCUAACACUGACGCUCAUGCACGAAAGCGUGGGGAGCAAACAGG
rnacentral:rRNA from 1 species